rnacentral:rRNA from 1 species
GAUGAACGCUGGCGGCGUGCCUAAUACAUGCAAGUCGAGCGAACAGACGAGGAGCUUGCUCCUCUGACGUUAGCGGCGGACGGGUGAGUAACACGUGGAUAACCUACCUAUAAGACUGGGAUAACUUCGGGAAACCGGAGCUAAUACCGGAUAAUAUAUUGAACCGCAUGGUUCAAUAGUGAAAGACGGUUUUGCUGUCACUUAUAGAUGGAUCCGCGCCGCAUUAGCUAGUUGGUAAGGUAACGGCUUACCAAGGCAACGAUGCGUAGCCGACCUGAGAGGGUGGUCGGCCAGACUGGAAGUGAGACACGGCCCAGACUCCUGCGGGAAGCAGCAGUAGGGAAUCUUCCGCAAUGGGCGAGUGGCUGACGGAGCACCGCCGCGUGAGGGAUGAAGGUCUUCGGCUCGUAAAGCUCUGUUAUUAGUGGAGAACAAAUGUGUAAGUAACUAUGCUCGUCUUGACGGUACCUAAUCAGAAAGCCACGGCUAACUACGUG